rnacentral:ncRNA from 1 species
ACAAUGGAGAGUUUGAUCCUGGCUCAGGAUGAACGCUAGCGGCAGGCCUAAUACAUGCAAGUCGGACGGGAUCCAGUGGUAGCUUGCUACCACUGGUGAGAGUGGCGCACGGGUGCGUAACGCGUGAGCAACCUACCUCUAUCAGGGGGAUAGCCUCUCGAAAGAGAGAUUAACACCGCAUAA